rnacentral:rRNA from 1 species
AGAGUUUGAUCCUGGCUCAGAACGAACGCUGGCGGCGUGCUUAACACAUGCAAGUCGAGCGGAGUUUAAAGGGAGCUUGCUUCAUUUAAACUUAGCGGCGGACGGGUGAGUAACGCAUAGGCAACCUGCCCUAUACACUGGGAUAACAGAGGGAAACUUUUGCUAAUACCGGAUAUGACCACACUAAGGCAUCUUAGAGGGGUGAAAGGGUUUACUGGUAUAGGAGGGGCUUAUGUCCUAUUAGCUAGUUGGUAGUGUAACGGACUACCAAGGCGACGAUAGGUAGCCGAUCUGAGAGGAUAAUCGGCCACAUUGGAACUGAGACACGGUCCAAACUCCUACGGGAGGCAGCAGUGGGGAAUAUUGGGCAAUGGAGGAAACUCUGACCCAGCAACGCCGCGUGAAUGAUGAAGGUCUUCGGAUUGUAAAGUUCUGUGAUGGAGGACGAACACAAUGACGGUACUCCAAGAGGAAGCCCCGGCUAACUACGUGCCAGCAGCCGCGGUAAUACGUAGGGGGCAAGCGUUGUCCGGAAUGACUGGGCGUAAAGGGAGCGUAGGCGGUUAAUUAAGUUAGAAGUGUAAUCCCAAGGCUUAACCAUGGAAUUGCUUCUAAAACUAAUUGACUAGAGUGCAGGAGAGGUAAGCGGAAUUCCUAGUGUAGCGGUGGAAUGCGUAGAUAUUAGGAGGAACACCAGAGGCGAAGGCGGCUUGCUGGACUGUAACUGACGCUGAGGCUCGAAAGCGUGGGGAGCAAACAGGAUUAGAUACCCUGGUAGUCCACGCGGUAAACGAUGGAUACUAGAUGUAGAUGGUAUUGAUUCCAUCUGUAUCGCAGUUAACACAAUAAGUAUCCCGCCUGGGGAGUACGGCCGCAAGGUUGAAACUCAAAGGAAUUGACGGGUACCCGCACAAGCAGCGGAGCAUGUGGUUUAAUUCGACGCAACGCGAAAAACCUUACCAAGACUUGACAUGCAUAUGAAGUUAGUAGAAAUAUUAACGUCUUCGGACAUAUGUGCAGGUGGUGCAUGGUUGUCGUCAGCUCGUGUCGUGAGAUGUUGGGUUAAGUCCCGCAACGAGCGCAACCCUUAUGGAUAGUUGCUAAUAUUCAGUUAAGAACUCUAUUCAGACUGCCGUGGAUAACACGGAGGAAGGUGGGGAUGACGUCAAAUCAUCAUGCCCCUUACGUCUUGGGCUACACACGUGCUACAAUGGCUACUACAAAGAGAUGCAAGAUAGCAAUAUGGAGCUAAUCUCAAAAAAGUAGUCUCAGUUCGGAUUGUGGGCUGCAACCCGCCCACAUGAAGUUGGAGUUGCUAGUAAUCCCGAAUCAGAAUGUCGGGGUGAAUGCGUUCCCGGGUAUUGCACUCACCGCCCGUCA